GAUGAACGCUGGCGGCGUGCCUAACACUUGCAAGUCGAGCGCGUCUGAUUUGAUGCUUGCAUUGAUGAAAGAUGAGCGGCGGACGGGUGAGUAACGCGUGGGUAACCUGCCCUAUACACAUGGAUAACAUACUGAAAAGUUUACUAAUACAUGAUAAUAUAUAUUUACGGCAUCGUAGAUAUAUCAAAGUGUUAGCGGUAUAGGAUGGACCCGCGUCUGAUUAGCUAGUUGGUGAGAUAACUGCCCACCAAGGCGACGAUCAGUAGCCGACCUGAGAGGGUGAUCGGCCACAUUGGAACUGAGACACGGUCCAAACUCCUACGGGAGGCAGCAGUGGGGAAUAUUGCACAAUGGGCGCAAGCCUGAUGCAGCAACGCCGCGUGAACGAUGAAGGUCUUCGGAUCGUAAAGUUCUGUUGCAGGGGAAGAUAAUGACGGUACCCUGUGAGGAAGCCCCGGCUAACUACGUGCCAGCAGCCGCGGUAAUACGUAGGGGGCUAGCGUUAUCCGGAUUUACUGGGCGUAAAGGGUGCGUAGGUGGUCUUUCAAGUCGGUGGUUAAAGGCUACGGCUCAACCGUAGUUAGCCUCCGAAACUGGAAGACUUGAGUGCAGGAGAGGAAAGUGGAAUUCCCAGUGUAGCGGUGAAAUGCGUAGAUAUUGGAGGAACACCAGUAGCGAAGGCGGCUUUCUGGACUGCAACUGACACUGAGGCACGAAAGCGUGGGUAGCAAACAGGAUUAGAUACCCUGGUAGUCCACGCUGUNAACGAUGAGUACUAGGUGUCGGGGGUUACCCCCUCGGUGCCCGCAGCUACGCAUUAAGUACUCCGCCUGGNGAGUACGCACGNCAGUGUG
rnacentral:rRNA from 1 species